UGUUAAAAAAUUCAACCAUUUCUAGUUUUAAAAACUGUGCUGAUAGAAUAACCAGGCAGUUCUACAUGAUAUGUCACUUGUACCUCAUGCUAAUGUAUAAGGACUAAUUUUUAAUAAUAGAAAUGGAUGAAAGUUUUAACA
rfam:Gossypium arboreum cultivar AKA8401 contig_105633_1, whole genome shotgun sequence.